GAGGGUAUUGGCUCAGUGGUUUAAAGCAAAUGCUUAGCAUGCGCAAGGUCCUGGGUUCAAUCCCCAGUACCUCCA
rnacentral:tRNA from 1 species